GUGGGGAAUCUUGCGCAAUGGGCGAAAGCCUGACGCAGCCAUGCCGCGUGAAUGAUGAAGGUCUUAGGAUUGUAAAAUUCUUUCACCGGGGACGAUAAUGACGGUACCCGGAGAAGAAGCUCCGGCUAACUUCGUGCCAGCAGCCGCGGUAAUACGAAGGGGGCUAGCGUUGCUCGGAAUUACUGGGCGUAAAGGGCGCGUAGGCGGACAGCUUAGUCAGAGGGGAAAGCCCAGGGCUCAACCUUGGAAUUGCCUUUGAUACUGGCUGUCUUGAGUUUGGGAGAGGUGGGUGGAACUCCGAGUGUAGAGGUGAAAUUCGUAGAUAUUCGGAAGAACACCAGUGGCGAAGGCGACUCACUGGCCCAAUACUGACGCUGAGGCGCGAAAGCGUGGGGAGCAAACAGGAUUAGAAACCCGUGUAGUCC
rnacentral:rRNA from 1 species